GCCUUUGUAGGAGGAAGUUUGUCCUUAGACAUUUACCUAUAUGUCCCCAUAUAUUUAAAUUUAUAGAACCAUUUUAGGAAACCAAGGGCAGAUUUUUUUUAAAUAAAAUAGAUUUAUUUUUUUAAAUAAGGAACUUUUGAGGCUGGUUGGUUGGUUGGUGAUUUUGUUUGUUUGUUUUUAGAGUCAGGGUUUCUGAGAGCCUCCAGAACUCAUUCUGUAGACCAGGCUAGCCUUGAACUUGGAGAUCUUCCUGCCUCUGCACCUCUGCCUCGAGUGCUAGGAUUAAAGGUGUGUGCCACCAGACCUGCCUUAUCCUGGCUUUGUCAGGACUUUAGCAAUACAUUACGAGAACUAAAAUGGAAAACGAUGCAAGCAGCUAAAGGAAAGCAAGUGUCCACCCUGCAGUGUGCCCUCUUGCCUUCAGGUGGUCCCUGUGGUGUGACUGUGCAAUGCUGUGUUUGUCUGUAGAGGAUGGCUGCACUUUCUCUUUCUACCAUACUUGGUUGUCCUUGUUCAGGCAGUAGUUUGACCUGGACCAGCAGGUCAUUCUUCAGUGACAACAUCAUGGGGGGGGGGGGUGCCAGGGAUGAGGACGAUAGAGAAGACAAAAGCUGGGGUCAGAAGGUCUUACAGCAGCUGUGACUUACAUCCAGCAUGUCCUCUCUCUAUGUACAUCAUGUUCUCAGGGAAAGCCUUGGAUCAGCCCAGUCCUCAACACUUCACUCCCUUAGUUUCCUGGCUUUCCAUUCCCUCCUACUUGGAGGUGCAGAUUUAACAGUUAGAGGCAGACAUUAGUAUAUAAGCCUGGCCCUUGGUAUGUUUCCUAACCCAAUCCAUUUUCCUGAAACUUACUUUCUUAUAGUUGAACAAAAUCCAUUUUGUAUAUGUCUAAAAUUGUCAUUGUUCAUUCAUCUUUUGAUGACCAUCAGGCUGGUUGUAUUUCUUCACUAUUGUAAGUACAGCAGCCACAAUGUGGAAGUGCACAUAUCUCUAUUGUAGGAUUAGAGCCCUUUGUGUGUAUGCCCAGGAGCAGCUGGGUUGUAUGGUAAUUUUCUUUUAGUCUUUCCAGUGAUUGCAUAAGCUCCCAUUCCUACUAAUAGUAUCUAAGGUUCCUCUUUCCUCACAUUCUCUCCAGCAUUUGUUGUCAUUUGAUUUCUUGAUGGUCUUUCUGACAAGGCUGAAAUAUUAUCUCAAAGUAGUUUCAAUUUAUAUUUCUCUCGUGGCUAGAAAUACUGAGCAGUUUUUUGUUUGGUUUUGUUUUAUAGGGGUUUUCUAAUUUCAUUUUGUUUCACGUCUACAGGAAAUUGGACCUAAGACGUCAUGUGUGCUAGAGAAGUGUUCUAACUUAAUCCCCAACCCCUAACCCAGUUGCAUUUGUUCUUUUGAAAACUGUUCAGAUCAUUGGCUUGUUUUUUGAUUGGUUGGUUUGUUUCUUAGGUUUAAUGUCCGACCUCCUUUAUAUGUUCUAACUAUUAACCCCGUGUUUGAGGUAUAAAUGGACAUUUUCUUCUUAUUCAUUGGGUUGUCUGUUUAUUCUGUUUCUUUUUCUGUUCAGAAACUUUUUAAUUUCAUGUAGUCUCAUUUGUCAGUUCGUGAGGCUGUUCCCUGUGCUAUGGAAAUCCUAUUCCCAUGCCUUCGGUUACUGUGUGAAUGAUGAUUCCGCCGUGACACCAUUAAUCUUCACAGCGACACAGCAGUCUUCCUUUGAAUUCUAGCAAGGGUCGAGGUGGCUUUUGCUUUCUUCACUGUGACUCAGGAAUGUGAGAGGGAAACCGUCUCAGAAGUAUCAGAACCACAGCUCUGCCCCAGACAAAGAGCCUGACACAUUUAGUACUGCCAGGUCUGAGACACUUCAGAGAUCCCCUGGGCCUGAGUCAGUUCCCUGACUCCAUUAAAAGCUAUAUUGGAGAAGGGGGGUCCUAAUGUCAGUCACCGGCAUCAGAUACUGCUUUUGGGGGGCUAGUAGAAGUUCAUAUUGCCUUCAGUGAGCACCAUCUUCCCUCAUGGCUCGCUUGUUACUGAGGACUGGUUUAGAGGCUCAUUUUCACUUUGCAGUAAGGUGGUUAUUUUGGUCUAUUUAAUUUAUACUUCUGAGGUACUUUCCAUGUUAAGUCUCCAUUGAGUUACCUACAGGAAAGAAUAAGAAGUAAGUUUUUCUCAGCAUUCAGGAGGCACAUUGUAAAAGGAUACAUCCUGUCUAUGUUAAUUCUAUUUCUUACAAACUUUAAAGAUUAGCUAUUAAAAAUGCCAUUUUACAUAAAUUAAUUGGUUUUUAUCAGAGUAGUAUAAUAGUAAACUACUUUUUGUCUAAUGACUUCUGUUCACAGGUGAAGUGGUAUAAUCUGCCCUUGUUUAUAUUUUUGGUUGUCUGAAUAAGAUGGGAAAUAUUUUUAAUAUGCAGGGGCAGUAGUGAGGCACCAAGAUUCCAUGCACUUCCUGUCAGCAAAGGUAUCAACUGCCAGGAACCCCUGAUAAGUCCUAUUUUGAGCAAGCAGUGUCAGGAUAACAGAAGACAGACACAGUUUACUGCUGUGAGGCUGGCAGCAGAGCCAACUGCACUACCAUCCUAAUCACAACAGACACUCUGGAGUUAGACAAAGCCAAGUCCCCUUGUCAAACUAUGCGGGAGGUUCAGUUAGUGAACAAGACAGACCUUUUGCCUUGUCAGAGCAAUUUUAAGGGGUCAUUUCUCUAAUCCAGGGGCUAGAGAGACUCAGAAGCUUUCAUACAUAAAAAGCACUUGCGUGUUGGGAACAUACGAUAUUUGCUAC
rnacentral:lncRNA from 1 species